AUUGAACGCUGGCGGCAGGCUUAACACAUGCAAGUCGAGCGGUAGCACAGGGGAGCUUGCUCCCUGGGUGACGAGCGGCGGACGGGUGAGUAAUGUCUGGGAAACUGCCUGAUGGAGGGGGAUAACUACUGGAAACGGUAGCUAAUACCGCAUAACGUCGCAAGACCAAAGAGGGGGACCUUCGGGCCUCUUGCCAUCAGAUGUGCCCAGAUGGGAUUAGCUAGUGGGUGGGGUAAUGGCUCACCUAGGCGACGAUCCCUAGCUGGUCUGAGAGGAUGACCAGCCACACUGGAACUGAGACACGGUCCAGACUCCUACGGGAGGCAGCAGUGGGGAAUAUUGCACAAUGGGCGCAAGCCUGAUGCAGCCAUGCCGCGUGUGUGAAGAAGGCCUUCGGGUUGUAAAGCACUUUCAGCGAGGAGGAAGGUGGUGAGCUUAAUACGUUCAUCAAUUGACGUUACUCGCAGAAGAAGCACCGGCUAACUCCGUG
rnacentral:rRNA from 1 species